UGGUGGCCGUGUCCGGCAGUCUGUCCGUGCUUCUGGAUUCCAUCAUCUGUGCGCUUGGCCCCUUGGCAUGUCUGACCACACAACUACCUGAACUGAACGGCUGUCCCAAGCAGGUCUUGUCAAACACAUUAGACAACAUUGCUUACAUCAUGCCUGGACUGUGACAGCGAGGAGCCCCGGGACAGAGACCUCGUCCUCCCCAUUGCUGGUGUGUGUGUAUGUGGGUGCUCCAGAUCGCUGGUCUCCGGGCACAGGCUUCGAAUUUUUAUAUAUAUACAUAUACAUAUACAUAUAUAUAAUGUACAAUAUAUACAUAGGACUGUAACUACUUUGCUUUUAAUAAUUUUAUGAAAUGGCAAAGGUUUAGCCAAGAGGAAACCUUGGCAUGAAUAUGGACUUGGGAUUCUUUUUUCUCCUGUGGUGGAUCAAUCUGCCUUAAAAAUCAAUGAAACUUGGGGGCUGGGGGCUUGUUCUGGGUGCCAAGGGCAUCUCUUUAUGGACAGCUAAAAAUGUGAUUUUUUUUUUCCAACUCAGUUGUACCUCCAGACCCAUCACUGACCAUUUGCCUUACCUGUCUCACAGUCUGAAAUGUAAUAGGAAAGAUUAUGGGAAGAUGCCAGUUGACUGAAAGUACAAAGCCUUGCAAUGUGAAGUGACCUAGGUUGGAGGUGAUAAAAUCGUUCCCAUCUCCCAGUUACUUCAGUGGCUUAGGUGAACUUUGUAGGGGUUCAUUCCGUUUCCUGCUAUACCAGUGUCCAUGUCUCAAAAUUUAUCGUAAUCUUUGGUACCAUUAGCAGCCUCAGUAGGGCCCAGGAGUUACGUGAGCCCCAGCAGCGUGAAACACCUUGGAGAGAGGGUAACGCUGUCGCUGCACAAGUUGAACAUGUAUUGUGAGCAGAUCCAGAAUAUUCCAUCUGCAGAACUAAUUGCUGGUAUCUUCCAUCGGUGACAUUCGCUUAGCCACCGAGUCCUCACAGGUUUUGCUGCUUAGUUGCUUGAUGGCUGUGGAAGAUGAACUUGGCCCAGCGUGAUUCUUGGGUUCAUCCGAUUGGCUCCCCUGGUGGGCAGAUACCCAGUGUUCUGCAUUCCACACAUAAGUGAAUUGCAAAAAGAGUACUCAAUUCUCAUGUAGGUUUAUUUAUGUGCGCUCGUGACUGUGUGUUUUAAUUAUGUGUAUUUAACUCUUUAAAAUCUCUUAGAUUUUAAUUUAUCCUGUAAAUUUCUGUAUAUAUAAUUUAAUAACAAAAGCCUCCACCAGCAACAGCAUGUGGAAGAUACAGAUUUGUCAUUUCUUCCCUCCUCCUUUCCUCUGAUCCCCUCUGAAAACUCCCAGAUCAUCUACAUUUUAAGGUAUCGUGCCUCAUAAAAGGAAUCAUUAUGUCAGGAUUCUAAUUCUUUAUAAUUCAAUAAUGUCAAGAAAGUAAAAUUAAAAGGAAUGUUACCAUUCCCAGCUGCCCACUUUUCCAAAGAACCAGACUUUUGCUUCCCAGUUCCAAAGAAGACAGCUGAGCACUUGAGGGUUGUUUUUCAGUUUGGUGUGGGGUUCCAGCCAAAACUAAGCUCCAAGGGGACUGUGAUUUCUUCCCUGGCCGAGGCAGAGGGGACUGUGCUUUCUUCCCCUGGCCGGGGCAGAGGGGACUGUGCUUUCUUCCCCGGCCAGCCGAGGCAGAGCGCUGCAGCAUGGAAGUAGAUCUUUGAGGACCCUGCAGCCAGCCCACAUCCUACUUCAUCCCUUCCCUCCUCCCCACCGUGUGGCCCCAGGGCUUCCUUUCCCAAAGGUGCUCUAGCUGCUGAUAGGCCCUCAGCUCGGAGCAGUGGUGAAGUUUAAUUGGGGAAACAGAAGGAAACGGGUAUGUUUGGGAACCUAAAUCAGUAAGAGCAGAUCUGGGUUUGAUUGCCUGUGUUAGACCCCAUGCCACACCUCAUCUGUACCCGUGGAAGUUUCCUGUCUGACACAGGGUAUCAAGGAGGGGCCUGGGAGACCUGGAGAAGUACGGAAGAGGUCAGUCCUGCCCCUGUCCUUCGUGCACGUUAAUGAAAUCCCAGUGAGGACCUGCUUUUUGUUUGUUUGUUUUCCUUUAAAACCCAACCCUUAUUGUAUUUGUAUUUAAAUUUGUACACAUUUGUAUAAUAAUCUGUACCUUGUGGUAUUUGGUACUAUUAGAGGAAAAACUUUGGAUUCAGACCUUCUUGCAGUUUUUAUAUCAUUGUUUUAUUUUGUUUUUUAAAUAAAUUCUAGCGGUUUGAUCCAAAUCCCAUUACAGUUGUAUAAAGAAAUAAAAUUUUGUACUUAUAUUAUUAAAAAUCACAUUUUUAA